rnacentral:rRNA from 1 species
UACGAAGGGGGCUAGCGUUGUUCGGAAUUACUGGGCGUAAAGCGCACGUAGGCGGAUUUGUAAGUCAGGGGUGAAAUCCCGGGGCUCAACCUCGGAACUGCCUUUGAUACUGCAAGUCUCGAGACCGGAAGAGGUGAGUGGAAUUCCUAGUGUAGAGGUGAAAUUCGUAGAUAUUAGGAAGAACACCAGUGGCGAAGGCGGCUCACUGGUCCGGUUCUGACGCUGAGGUGCGAAAGCGUGGGGAGCAAACAGG